rnacentral:rRNA from 1 species
GGCGGCAGGCUUAACACAUGCAAGUCGAGCGGGGAGAUGUAGCUUGCUACAUUUCCUAGCGGCGGACGGGUGAGUAAUGCUUAGGAAUCUGCCUAUUAGUGGGGGACAACAUUCCGAAAGGAAUGCUAAUACCGCAUACGCCCUACGGGGGAAAGCAGGGGAUCUUCGGACCUUGCGCUAAUAGAUGAGCCUAAGUCAGAUUAGCUAGUUGGUGGGGUAAAGGCCUACCAAGGCGACGAUCUGUAGCGGGUCUGAGAGGAUGAUCCGCCACACUGGGACUGAGACACGGCCCAGACUCCUACGGGAGGCAGCAGUGGGGAAUAUUGGACAAUGGGCGAAAGCCUGAUCCAGCCAUGCCGCGUGUGUGAAGAAGGCCUUUUGGUUGUAAAGCACUUUAAGCGAGGAGGAGGCUACUUGGAUUAAUACUCUAGGAUAGUGGACGUUACUCGCAGAAUAAGCACCGGCUAACUCUGUGCCAGCAGCCGCGGUAAUACAGAGGGUGCGAGCGUUAAUCGGAUUUACUGGGCGUAAAGCGUGCGUAGGCGGCUUCUUAAGUCGGAUGUGAAAUCCCUGAGCUUAACUUAGGAAUUGCAUUCGAUACUGGGAAGCUAGAGUAUGGGAGAGGAUGGUAGAAUUCC